GCAGAGCCGGGGUCCCACGGGCGGCACGCUCUAAAUCUGCCUCGAUCUGCUCUGGCGAAGUCUCGGAUCCGGCGGCCGUUCAUCAGGUUGGCUGCUCCAUCGCUCGGGCUCCUCCGCCGCUCACGAUCCACGGGUGGCCUGCAUUACAAACACGAUCACAUGUUAGUUCCUGGAUCUAACCUCAAAUGAAGAACUGACGGAGGACACGAUCUUUCCGGUUCAAAGACAAGAUGAAUUUUCCAGGGAUUAGCGCGUGCUUACGGAGGACUUGCUCGGCGGAGAAGCGUCUCCACUCGUCGCGGCACAUCAUCCGCCUCAUCAGGUCCUUGGCGGCCGGAGACACGCCGGAGAACAGCCUCGGAGGGAACCGAACGCUGCCCCGCAUCACGGCCGAGAGCACGUCCUUCGCCGUCUCACCGCCGAAGGGGAGGGCGCCGCCGGAGAGCAGCACGUACAUCACCACGCCCGCGC
rnacentral:lncRNA from 1 species